UACGGAGGGUGCAAACGUUGCUCGGAAUCAUUGGGCGUAAAGCGCACGUAGGCGGCCCAGCAAGUCGGGUGUGAAAGCCCACCUCUUAAAGGUGGAAUUGCAUUCGAAACUACAGGGCUGGAGUGUCGGAGAGGAUGGCGGAAUUCCUGGUGUAGAGGUGAAAUUCGUAGAUAUCAGGAGGAACACCGGUGGCGAAGGCGGGUCUCUGGGCCGAUACUGACGCUGAGGAGCGAAAGCGUGGGGAGCGAACAGG
rnacentral:rRNA from 1 species